rnacentral:lncRNA from 1 species
UGUGCAGUAUUAACUUAAGUGUGUACAGAAUUCAUUUAACUAUAUGCAAUAUUAAAUUAACUAUGUACGAUGUCAAUUUAACUGUAUGCCAGUUUAAUUGAACUAUGUACCAUAUUUAGUUAACUACGUAUCAUACUAAAUUAACUAUAAAUUAUGUUAAUUUAACUGUGUAUAGUAUUAAUUUAACUAUAUACAGAGUUUAUUUAACUA